rnacentral:rRNA from 1 species
AUUGAACGCUGGCGGCAUGCCUUACACAUGCAAGUCGAACGGCAGCACGGGAGCAAUCCUGGUGGCGAGUGGCGAACGGGUGAGUAAAGUAUCGGAACGUGCCCAGUCGUGGGGGAUAACGUAGCGAAAGUUACGCUAAUACCGCAUACGAUCUACGGAUGAAAGCGGGGGAUCGCAAGACCUCGCGCGAUUGGAGCGGCUGAUAUCAGAUUAGGUAGUUGGUGGGGUAAAGGCUCACCAAGCCGACGAUCUGUAGCUGGUCUGAGAGGACGACCAGCCACACUGGGACUGAGACACGGCCCAGACUCCUACGGGAGGCAGCAGUGGGGAAUUUUGGACAAUGGGAGCAAGCCUGAUCCAGCCAUGCCGCGUGCAGGAUGAAGGCCUUCGGGUUGUAAACUGCUUUUGUACGGAACGAAAAGGACUGCCCUAAUACGGUGGUCCCAUGACGGUACCGUAAGAAUAAGCACCGGCUAACUACGUGCCAGCCGCCGCAGUAACAC